GUGACACUGGAGUGGACAGUCAGUGGGAGCAGCAGGUGCCAGCGGGUACACUGAACUCAAGAGAGGGCGGGAGUCCUGUGCACAUGGCAGAAGGUGACAGACACAAAUUUCAGGGAGGAGCCGCCGGAUCUACUUCCCAGCGUUCCGGAAGUCGCACUCACACCGCAACCUCGGACCGGACCGGUCCUGCUGUUACCCACUCUCCGCAUUAACGGAACUUUCUACAGACUUUCUGCUAAGAAGCCGCCAGAUCUACUUCCCAGCGUUCCGGAAGUCGCACUCACACCGCAACCUCGGACCGGACCGGUCCUGCUGUUACCAUACCCACUCUCCGCAUUAACGGAACUUUCUGCAUACUUUCUG